rnacentral:rRNA from 1 species
AGCAGCCGCGGUAAUUCCAGCUCCAAUAGCGUAUAUUAAAGUUGUUGCAGUUAAAAAGCUCGUAGUUGAAUUUCGGGGUCAGUAGGUUGGUCAUGCCUCCGGUAUGCACUGGUCUCACUGAUUCCUCCUUCCUGAUGAGCCGUAAUGCCAUUAAUUUGGUGUUGCGGGGAAUCUGGACUGUUACUUUGAAAAAUUAGAGUGUUUAAAGCAAGCUAACGCUUGAAUACAUUAGCAUGGAAUAAUGGAAUAGGACGUUCGAUCCUAUUUUGUUGGUUUCUAGGAUUGACGUAAUGAUUAAUAGGGAUAGUUGGGGGCAUUAGUAUUCAAUUGUCAGAGGUGAAAUUCUUGGAUUUAUUGAAGACUAACUACUGCGAAAGCAUUUGCCAAGGAUGUUUUCAUUAAUCAAGAACGAGAGUUAGGGGAUCGAAGACGAUCAGAUACCGUCGUAGU